AAAAGCACUUCUUAACAUUUAUUUUUAAUAAUUUUGGCAAAUUACGACCAUUGGAGUUGGGAUCAUCAAGUCACUUCACCACUUCAACUUUCACCGCACAGCAUAAAGGUAAGAAAUGAAAUGAUGACUAAGUUAACCAUUGAAAUCACAAGAUUUCGAUGUUUGGUAUCAAUGAUCUAUAAGUGCAUGGCAGAGCAAAAAGCCUCACCAACUCCUUUUAAUGUGACUGACGGUUAAUGAUGGAAAAACAAAACAUAUUAUUUAACACAAUACAAAUUUGAAGAGAAAAAGGAAUCAUCAAGAUGACAUGAAACCAGGAGCAAGAUUCACAACUCUCAAGCAAAUCUCUAUUCUGACAUGGAACCAAACAUCUCAACUCAUUGAUUUCUUUGAUUGUCAAUCACGGAAAUUGGAAUUUUUGGUGGUGAAAAAGCAAUUCAUCUCACAAUGGAAUGAUAUUUUUCCCAAUCAAAAUCCAAUUUCGAUUUUAAUUGAUCUCACUUGGAAAGAUUACUGACAGCUGAUGUUGAAUCAGAUUUUAAUGCCAUUUCUGAAUCAAUCAAGCAAACAAGAAGGCGCGAGAGUUAAAAAAGUGACAAUCAUCUUUAACAAGAAUUAUCAUCAUCAUCAUCAACUGAUAACCUUUUGAUUAGAAACAGAAAAAGGUUUAAAAUUGAGUUUAUCUAAAGGUUGAAUCCAUCGAAUUUUCAAACUCAAACAAUUUCAACAUGAAAAUUGAAGCAAUUUAAAGCAAAUGUAAAUCAAGUUAACAUUCAAUCAA